AACGACUCUCGGCAACGGAUAUGACUCGGCUCUCGCAUCGAUGAAGAACGUAGCGAAAUGCGAUACUUGGUGUGAAUUGCAGAAUCCCGUGAACCAUCGAGUCUUUGAACGCAAGUUGCGCCCGAAGCCAUUAGGCUGAGGGCACGUCUGCCUGGGCGUCACGC
rnacentral:rRNA from 1 species